rnacentral:rRNA from 1 species
AUUGAACGCUGGCGGCAGGCCUAACACAUGCAAGUCGAGCGGAUGAAGGGAGCUUGCUCCUGGAUUCAGCGGCGGACGGGUGAGUAAUGCCUAGGAAUCUGCCUGGUAGUGGGGGAUAACGUCCGGAAACGGGCGCUAAUACCGCAUACGUCCUGAGGGAGAAAGUGGGGGAUCUUCGGACCUCACGCUAUCAGAUGAGCCUAGGUCGGAUUAGCUAGUUGGUGGGGUAAAGGCCUACCAAGGCGACGAUCCGUAACUGGUCUGAGAGGAUGAUCAGUCAUACUGGAACGGAGACACGGUCCAGACUCCGACGGGUGGCGCCAUUGGGGAUUAUUGAGCAAGGGGCGAAAGUCUGAACGAGCAAUGACGCGGGAGUGAGGAAGGUCUUCGGAUCGUAAAACACUUUGAGUAGGGAAGAAGAAAAGUAUGGGGAUACAUUCAGGUCGGGAGGGUACCUAAAGAGAAAGAAAGGGCUAGCUACGUG